rnacentral:rRNA from 1 species
UACGUAGGUGGCAAGCGUUGUCCGGAUUUACUGGGCGUAAAGAGCGCGCAGGCGGUCGUUCAAGUCGCGUGUGAAAGCCCCCGGCUCAACUGGGGAGGGUCACGCGAUACUGAUCGACUCGAAGGCAGGAGAGGGAAGUGGAAUUCCCGGUGUAGUGGUGAAAUGCGUAGAUAUCGGGAGGAACACCAGUGGCGAAGGCGGCGACCUGGGCAGAUACUGACACUGAGGUGCGAAAGCGUGGGGAGCAAACAGG